rnacentral:lncRNA from 1 species
CCAACGUGUUUCACCCUAACUCAUGGACUCCCUUUUCUGCUUUGGGUUCCUGAAAUGAUUGUCAUCGAGUGUUGGUUCAGUACAUGGAAGGCAAAAGAUUUUGGUGAAAAAAAAAUCAAGGAAGAGACCAGCCCCAGUGAGGAAGAUGUCUUUGAUACAGCACCGUUUUCUAUCAACUAACCAUGUCAUUCAGUCUGGAGAAGGAGAGAACAGAGGACAUAAAUAGGCGAAAGGGUAGAAAAACAUGGUGGAAUGGAUGGAUUGAAAUUCCAGUGUUGUCAGAAACCAAGGAAGCCAUCUGAAGAGAUCAAAGAUGAUAAUCAGACAUUGAGAUUCAAUGGAUGGAACUAUAAAUAAAAGGC